rnacentral:rRNA from 1 species
GGACCCGCACAAGCGGUGGAGCAUGUGGUUUAAUUCGAUGCAACGCGAAAAACCUUACCUACUCUUGACAUACUUGGAAGCUCUUGUAAUGAGAGUGUGCCUUUUGGAACCAAGAUACAGGUGCUGCAUGGCUGUCGUCAGCUCGUGUCGUGAGAUGUUCCGUUAAGUCGGAUAACGAGCGCAACCCUUACCCUUAUUUGCCAGCGAUUCGGUCGGGAACUAUAAGGGGACUGCCGGUGAUAAACCGGAGGAAGGUGAGGACGACGUCAAGUCAUCAUGGCCCUUACGAGUAGGGCUACACACGUGCUACAAUGCGGCGUACAAAGCGAUGCAAGAUCGUGAGAUGGAGCAAA